UGGGGAAUAUUGCACAAUGGGCGCAAGCCUGAUGCAGCCAUGCCGCGUGUGUGAAGAAGGCCUUCGGGUUGUAAAGCACUUUCAGCGGGGAGGAAGGCGAUAAGGUUAAUAACCUUGUCGAUUGACGUUACCCGCAGAAGAAGCACCGGCUAACUCCGUGCCAGCAGCCGCGGUAAUACGGAGGGUGCAAGCGUUCAUCGGAAUUACUGGGCGUAAAGCGCACGCAGGCGGUCUGUCAAGUCGGAUGUGAAAUCCCCGGGCUCAACAUGGGAACUGCAUUAGAAACUGUCAGGCUAGAGUCUUGUAGAGGGGGGUAGAAUUCCACGUGUAGCGGUGACAUGCGUAGAGGUCUGGAGGCAGACCCGUGGGGAAGGCGGCCACCUGGACAAAGACUGACGCUCAGGUGCGAAAGCGUGAGGAGCAAACAGG
rnacentral:rRNA from 1 species